GUUAAUAUAGUUUAAAAACAAAC
rnacentral:tRNA from 1 species